rnacentral:rRNA from 1 species
UACGUAGGGUGCAAGCGUUAAUCGGAAUUACUGGGCGUAAAGCGUGCGCAGGCGGUCUGCUAAGAGAGAUGUGAAAUCCCCAGGCUUAACCUGGGAACUGCGUGUGAUACUGGAUGGCUUGAAUCCGGGAGAGGGAUGCAGAAUUCCAGGUGUAGCGGUGAAAUGCGUAGAUAUCUGGAGGAAUACCGGUGGCGAAGGCGGCAUCCUGGACCGGCAUUGACGCUGAUGAGCGAAAGCUAGGGGAGCAAACGGG